rnacentral:rRNA from 1 species
AUUGAACGCUGGCGGCAGGCCUAACACAUGCAAGUCGAGCGAGCGGCGGACGGGUGAGAAAUGUCUGGGAAACUCCCUGAUGGUGGGGGAUAACUACUGGAAACGGUAGCUAAUACCGCAUACCAUCAGAUGUGCCCCGAUGGGAUGAGCUAGUAGGUGGGGUAUUGGCUCACCUAGGCGACGAUCCCUAGCUGGUCUGCGAGGAUGACAAGCCACACUGGAACUGAGACACGGUCCAGACUCCUACGGGAGGCAGAAGUGGGGAAUAUUGCACAAUGGGCGCAAGCCGGAUGCAGCCAUGCCGCGUGUGUGAAGAAGGCCUUCGGGUUGUAAAGCACUUUCAGCGGGGAGGCGUUACCCGCAGAAGAAGCACCGGCUAACUCCGUGCCAGCAGCCGCGGUAAUUC